ensembl:lncRNA
UUACAAUCAGAUGAAAAUCAUUUAUUAAACAUUUGUUGGUCAGUAGAAAUUAAUCAUAACGACAUACAAAGAAAUCACAAAUAAAAUCAGCUAUUUUCUGUUGUUUACAUACAAAAUAAGGCACUGUUUUAUUAGUGUCCGUCUAGUAAACGUACAAAAUUUACUUUAACAAAAAUAAAAAAUAUAUUUUUUAAAAUGUACAUUGUGUCUAUGACAUUAAAAAGGCUUUUAAAAUAAAACCAUACAGUACCCAUAUAUUUUGGAGCAAAUUAAAAGUCAUGUACAAGCAAAUAUUUUUGUCUCGCAUUAACUUCCAUAACAGAUGACAAAGUAAAGGUCCAGUCCACUGUCCAAAAUGUGUGACCUUGAAUUGAUUAAUUUAAGGAGAUCAGCAUGUCAUAGUGCAAAAAAGAUGCAGCAAAAUCAAUCAAGACACCAGGUAAUAUUUAAUCAGUUUCAUCUGUGUGCUUUAGUAUAUAAUUCAGUGUUUCUCCUUCCCCCUGCUACAGUCGGAGCAGCAAGUUUAACCCUCUAAAUAAAGUAAAACAAAAUGUCUUCUGAUUGUAAAACUGCCAGGCACGUUGAAGAAAAUGCAGUUUAGUGCAUUUAGGCUUGAUGGAGUUACUUAGACAUAGUCAGAAAGGUAAAUACAAGAGCCAAAACAUUUCAACAACAUCCAAGACAUUAGAAAACUAUGUAAACUCAUAUGGGGGAAAUCAUUAAGCAGGGUUGGCUUUAUCUUUUUGGCAUUUAUCUUAAAAACAACAACAUUAAAAAAAAUAGGAAAAUAUAUUUUAAAUCAUUCCCCAUUCCAGAGAUGACUAUCACACAUAGCAGAAGUAAAACAUCAUCCAUACAUUUAAAUAUAACCAAUGCGUUAUUAUCCAAUUACACUGGAAACUUUCCUAAACACAGUGAUGCAAACAGAGUUGUUCAUCCACGUCUUGGCUCUUUCAGCAGUUUUCUACAUUCUGAGAUCUGCAAUAACUCACAUAAAACAUACUGAAUGAAAAAAGAAAAAAAAAAAAAAAACAGACAAGAGGAGAGAUCUUUCAUUCUAUAAUGGCUCAUGAAUGUGCAAUUGCAAAAAUGUCAAUAGAAUUAUUCCUUGAAUUCAUUUGAGGCAAAAAUAAAGGGAGAAUGAAGAGCAAAGGUGUCUCAGGUCUCUGCAAGAGUCUGAUCUCUUUGGCACGAUGUCCAUUUUAAAAUGUUCU